rnacentral:ncRNA from 2 species
AUGGGGUAUUUACAGGGUUACCCAAAAUGGAAAGGAGAGGAGAGAGUGGCUGGUCGAUCGGCUAGCAGGUCGGCCGACUGGCUGAUCGCACAGCGAGUCGAUCGGUUAGCUGCCUUGCAAGGCUAAAUACUCCUGGGUGACCGAUAGCGAAGUAGUACUGUGAGGGAAGGGUGAAAAGAACCCCCAUCGGGGAGUGAAAUAGAACAUGAAACCAU